rfam:Streptomyces alboflavus strain MDJK44, complete genome.
CUUGAUGGAGCCCAGCCACAGGGGCCGGUCGGCCGACCGCUCCUUGCCGUACGUGGCGAGCAGCGCCUGGGCCUC